CCAACAGCAACAGAACCGGCACCGGCUUCGAAGGGCUGCAGUUGCGAUCGGAUGAUCGACGAGUACGCGUCUGUUGUGCGCACCGUUGUGUGUUCGCCCGGAAUGUCAGGUGUCUUCUCGACUUUCGUCGUCGCCUAUCCUCGGUGAAUCGGCGCGACAGCGGGGCUGAAGCUUUGGAUCAAAGAACGGGAACGAGCAAUGUUCACGAAGAUACGCGAGGCUGGCGUAAUCGACAGACGUGCCACAUCGCACGGGGUCGCCGGGACUCUACAGUAGCUGAGAGGCGCCGGUGAGAUUUCCGCGUCGCAUCAAAGGAGGAUCGGGGUGGUCCAGGAGGGAAAAAUUAAGUCUGGUGGAGGAGAGCAGGAAGUGGGGCCGGUGCUGGCCACCGGGACGCUCCUCGGUCUUUUCCGCUUCAGGAUGUCGUACGCCAAUCGAUUCCCGUCCUCGCAGCACACCCGUUAUCGCAGCAGCUGGGGUCCAUCCUCAGUCACUGUGUUCAAUCGAGCCGACGUGCCCAGGCCCUCGCCGGAAGAGGAAGAGUACGCCGAGUUCUAUCACGAGCGUCUGCACUCGGCCCAGAGCAGACAGUUGCUGCCGUUGCAGGAGGACCUCGCCGAUUGGAUCAAUAAAACGUUGAGCUCCGAAAUCGUGUCAGGAGACAACUUCUUUGAUGCACUGGACAAUGGCGUAGUGGUGUGUCGACUGGCCAGGGUCAUACAGGAAAAGGCGAGGACGGCGAUUGACGCUGGAAGAGCGAAAGGGCCAAUGCCGGUGAUAAGAGGGCGCUGCUGGGAGAACGCAGCGCGCCGCAGCUUCUUCUCUCGUGACAACAUGGAGAACUUCAUACAAUUCUGCAGGCGUUUGGGCGUCCACGAGAAUCUCCUAUUCGAGAGCGACGAUCUCGUUCUACACGGACAACCACGGAACGUGGUGUUGUGCCUGCUGGAGGUAGCCCGGCUGGCGUCCAGGUACUCCGUCGAACCACCUGGACUCGUGCAGCUCGAGAGGGAAAUCGCUGCCGAACAAGAGCGAGAUCUUCACUGUCUGUCCGAUAGCGGUAUAUCCCACAGCAGCCUGGUUUCUUGGCAAUUUCAAUCACCGUCCCCGACCGCGACGCCCAGACCCACGCCAGAGAAGAUCAAACACAGCAGCUCAGCAUCGGAAGUCGCAUUGACGGCGACGAGAUGGCUGGACCCGACCACUGAUGUGACGCACGAGCCCGAGAUGAGAAGGUCGGUGAGCGACAAUGGACCAGCGGGUAGCGAUGGCGUACCCAGCGACACGACGGAGGACGACUGGUCCCGAGGAAGCGCCGAGGACCCAGACGAGGUCCCAUCGCCAUCGAGUUCACCUUUGUCCUCGCCGGCCGAGCCGCCGGAACACACGGGUCCCAUAACGGAACUCGAUCGCAAGGUAAGGCGAGCCACAGAGGCCGUGCAGAGACUCUGCCAGUGCCCCUCUGAGAGAUGUUCCAAACUGAAGGUGCGUAAGGUUGGCGAAGGACGGUACCAUAUCGCUGGACGAAAUGUCUUUAUCAGGCUUUUGAAGGGGAGACACAUGAUGGUCAGAGUGGGCGGGGGCUGGGACACCUUGGAGCAUUUCUUGGCGAGGCACGACCCCUGUCAGGUGAGGACCCUCAACCGCGAGAGCACGCCGCCUUCACUCCACGGCAACAAGCACACCAACUUUCUUCCCAUUCGCGCAAAGUAUCGCAGCCCUCCGCCAGAAUCCGUCUCGGCCCGCUAGCCUAAAAGCACAGUGCCUGUUUACAAGUCCACGCUACUUCACGUUCAUGCUGCUGUUGGUUCGUUUCGUACAAGUAGAGAGACACACGUGACAGAUAGUUCGACAGAGUGGCCAACUUUCGUUCCGUAUUUUUGUUCGGAUCGUAGAAGCACACGAGACUGCAGGGUUACCAUGCUGAUAGGCAAACCGCGAAAAUAUCAGACGCCUAGUUCUUUAUGGCGCUCACAGAGGUCGGUAGCGCCUUCGAGAAGUCUCACCUUCCUUCUUUCCAACCGCUGUCAAUGGUGCGUUGAUGAUAUCGAGGGAUCCGUUAGUUCUGCCAGGUGUCGUUGGAAAAACUAUCAGCUAAGAUAACAACGAUUCGCUGGUUUGAACCCGUAAACGUUUAAGUGUCACGCAUUCCAUGGAUGACAGGCAUAUUAACGCUUGAUUUGGAAAUUGUCUAACAGAAAUAGACGGGAGGGCAAUGCACCUGGUAGAGGUAGACGUAAGACCGCAAUGACCAAAGUUCGUAAUGGUAUGUCGAAACGAUCACGGGCAAUAAUGGCUUAUCGGAAUGUCGUUUGCAUCGAAGAUAACGACCAACAAUCUGUCUGCUGCGAUUCGAACAAGCUGCUUCGAAGUCGACCCAUGCGUGUAAUUAGAAGAAAGUGCAAUUAAGGACUCAGGUAACAUUUUAAAUCGAGCUUGACGGGCUAAAUAGAACUACAGGAAAUUGUGUUUUCCAAUUGAACGACUCCGUCUUUUGUAGAAAUGCAAACCUUUAAAGGAUAGGUAAUCGUUUAUGAGAUUGUGGGGUUACUAUCUAUUUUAUGAGCAAACGAGAAAAGGGUGAAGCAAAUAUAUAAUAAUUAUUACUUAUUUGUACUUGGUCAUUGCUGCGGCCCACAGGGGCGAAUCUCGUAGUGCACUUAAUUAUCUCUCGCGAUAAGCAAUGUAAGGCACAUAGAUUGUAACAAAUAACAGGGUCGGUUACAUCGAUUAAUAGUACGCUUAAAAUAUAUGAUCAUCUAUUGUCAGAUUAUUAUAAAAGAGUGUCAAUUGAUUGACACGAAUCAUUACCAUCGUGUUAGAGGUGUAUUUAAACUUCAUUCAUUAUCUCAAAGAUAAAUUAUCUUUUUAUACUGUUUUUGUAUCUACCGACCCUGGCGAUAAUUCUUACACUUUGGCACAUAAUCGAUACGUAUUAAAUCGGCUAACAUGCAAAAUGCUUCACGAUAACUGCCAUAAUAUAUGUUUUGUACUUUUAUAAUAAAUACGUAGGAUAAGGAGUAACAAAGAACAUAUUGUAUCGAAAUUACAAGACGACGUGUGUUUAUUCGGUUCACAGAAAUGC